rnacentral:rRNA from 1 species
GACGAACGCUGGCGGCGUGCUUAACACAUGCAAGUCGAACGGUAAGGCCCUUCGGGGUACACGAGUGGCGAACGGGUGAGUAACACGUGGGUGAUCUGCCCUGCACUUCGGGAUAAGCCUGGGAAACUGGGUCUAAUACCGGAUAGGACCACUGCCUGCAUGGGUGGUGGUGGAAAGCUUUUGCGGUGUGGGAUGGGCCCGCGGCCUAUCAGCUUGUUGGUGGGGUGAUGGCCUACCAAGGCGACGACGGGUAGCCGGCCUGAGAGGGUGACCGGCCACACUGGGACUGCGAUACGGCGCAGACUCCUACGGGAGGCAGCAGUGGGGAAUAUUGCACAAUGGGCGCAAGCCUGAUGCAGCGACGCCGCGUGAGGGAUGACGGCCUUCGGGUUGUAAACCUCUCUCAGCACCGACGAAGCGCAAGUGACGGUAGGUGCAGAAGAAGGACCGGCCAACUACGUGCCAGCCGCCGCAGUAA